AUUUUGCGUUAAGGAUAGGGACGGCAUCCUUUUUUUGCCUCUUGCCAUUAAGUAAAUGCAAAAAAAGAUAUAGUGUAUAGCCUGUUAAAAC
rnacentral:sRNA from 1 species